rnacentral:lncRNA from 1 species
UGGACAGCUCCCAGCAGCUAGGAGUCUGUGAGCUCUCAUCCUGUGCUGCACUCUGUGCUAGCCACUUUGCAUGAGUUCUCUAACUCCACCAGUUUGCAGGACAUUUGCUAUGCUGGCCUCGCUACUCCAGGCAUGCUCAACACACUCCCACCUGCUCAUAUGACUCCCUAAAUCCACUGCUUGGAACUGAGCCCCACCCUCCACGUCUAGCCUGUGCCAUGCAGAGCAAGGCAGGCUCCCUGACCCACCAAGACUCUUCCAAGAAUAGAACCCCAAGUCACUUGGUUUCUUUGGCAGCUGAGGAUCUGCCUCAGCCUAGAAGCCUGGAUGUAGCCACCCGUGGGUCAGAAGCAAAGAGGGUAAGUCAAAGUUGGGAACCCAGGGUGCCAGAGGAGUAACCGACGGCUCAGCCCCAGCCUCCACUCUCGACAGCUGUGGGCUCCACCAUCUGCAGCAGAGUGGGGGCCUCUUUGGCUCCAGUCCCACCUCCCAACUUUCCUUAUGAAAUGGGGAAAUGCAAAUCUGGAAACACCUGAAGAUUGCUGACCAAGCAUUGUGCAAGCAGGCCAACCCAAACCUGAAACCCAGAGAGCACUUACCAAGAAAGGAAGUACUGAUGGAGCACACAGAAGAGUGAGUCGACAUCCAGGGGCAGUCUGGAAGACUUCCUAGAGAACAGCUUGGGGCAAAUCCUGUCACCAAGUAGAAACCAGUGCUGUAAGAACAUGGAGGAUGAUCAGGUGAGCUCUGACAUCCAGGAGGAUUCAUCACAGCAAACCUUGAAAGAUGGAUGAGAUUUUCAGAGGGUGAACGUGGAAGAAGGGGAAAGCAUUUCGCUCCUCACCUAUUUUGCUGGACUUUCUCCCAUCUCUCUCUCUUUUUUAAAAGUCCAUGGAUCAAAACUGAGAUGCCAGCUCCCAGUUAGGACAAGCCCAGUGUGGAGGACAGAGCUGGGGAUUGCUUCUUGGCCUUUGCGUGGCCCACGUCUACUAAUGCUCCUGGCGGCACACUGCCUUCCCCGCAUCAGGGCACGUGUGCAGCUGUGAUCAGUGAAAAGCCGCUCCAACCACCACCCUCAUCUCCAAACAAUAAAGCUUCAUUGGUGAAGGCAUUUGAGAAUUACAGUGGCUUGUUAAUCUCACGUCAGUCAUCCCUAUCUUAUUGAAUUUAAGAAGAAGGGAAACUCAACACUGCUCAAGAGCAGUCCCUCUAAAUAUAAAUGUUUACCUCAAGGCAUUGCACUUCUUUCAAAACACUCUCUUCCCAUUCCUGUCCUUGCCAUUUCACUCCCUGUCCACCUCAUGGGAGUUCACCCCCUCUCACUUCCUGCCCAACCCAAGCCUGGUAUGGACAUUUUCUAUAACUAAAUUAGUCUUUAGAUGUCUCUAGCUGUAUUUGUUUUCUUCUCCUACCUUUUUUCUUUUCCUUUCCUACUCUUUCAUGUCAGACUUAAUUAAUCAAUAAACUUUUAUUGAGCAUUUCCUAAGUGCUGGGUUCAAUCAGGGAAUAUAUAGACAAACCCAGGGGCUAGUCCUGGUCCUGAAGCCCUUAUGAUCUAACUGAUGAGACGAGGACAAACGGAGGUAGGUAAAGAUCAUGUGGCGUUAGCUGGCAUGGUGGUGUUGGUAUAAACCAAGGGCUUGGGUGGUUAGGGCUUCACACUUCAAGGAGGGGAGACUUCCACACGGGGCGGUGGAUAGAAUCUGGAACUACAGGGACUUUGUGACUGGCCAUAACUGAAGACUUGCGUGUACCAAGCAGUAUGCCAAG